UUUAUUACAACAAUCCAUUAAGACAUUAAAAAGUUGAUGGCUUGGCACCACAGAGAUAACUAAUCAUUAGAUGAUAUAUCAUCAAUGAAGGAGCUAGUAGCUACGGAGAAGAAGAAGAAGAUACAAAAGGCGAUACCUUUUGUGGUUGAGUGUUGUGAGAGUCAUUGGUAUCCACUCGAGGCCCGUGCCUUGUCCGGGGCCUUACCAAAAUUAGUUCCGGGCAGGACGCGAAGACACGUGUGAUAGGGUUAGCUACCCUCGACCGUGUAGCUGCAUGACGAUGCGGCAAGUGUGUUAUCCGGGUCAUCGGCUUUUUAGACUUUGUGUUUAGGGUCAAUGGGCGCAAGAAGGGAUGUGUUAUGGACUUCGUAUCGAGAUAGGAACCAAUGGCGAGAGGCAGUCCUCGAUGAUCGAUAAUGAUCUAACCACUCGUGAAGAGUGGAUGCUUGUUUACAUGAUUGCUUUAUUUUUGCAUUGCAUAUUUCUUAAUAUAAUUGAUCCUUGUUGCUUAAUGUUUGAUGCAUAAUGGGGGGAUAAAUAAUUGUUAAGAAACCCGACUCACUGAGCAAAAUAGUUGCUCAUUAGACUCUUUGUUUUGCAGGUAACCCGUAGUAGUAGGUUCCAUUUGGGAUCGGAGGAGCACAAAGCUGUUGGUGUAGAUUUGCUACCUUUUGCAAACAUGUACGUUUUGUAAUAUGUAAGAUAUGGUUUUGAACAUCCGCCGAGCAUGUAUAAAUUUUCGAUGUGGUUGAACUUAAAGUAUAUAUGAAUAAAAAAAGGGGGGGAGGGGUUUGUAAAAUGCUUGGAUUCCAUAUGAUACUAGUCCUAGUCCGGGACGAACUAACUAACGGUUUAAAACUCGGGUUGCAAAGCCUUAACUUGGAAUCGCUAGGAAACCCGUUCUUGGACAUAUGAUCUUAGGAUUUCGGAUCUGAUCUGGGAACCUCAGAUCAAAAGUUCGGGCACGUGGUAGUAGUAUCUUCGAUCUGGUUAGAGUUCUUUAGUUCGUCGUGCAUAUUCUUGUUUGAUUGGUGCAUGGCAAACUAAUUAACUUUUAUUUAGUCCGGAUCAGGAGUGUUACAGACUAGGUUGUAGAAAAUAGAUUCUACUGUCCAGAACAUCCUUGUGUAUGUAUCCAGUAUAUAAAGAGUAUCCAUGCGCCGCCAUUUUUAACAAAAUGAACUUUAUAAUGAACCGUCCGACCACUACCAUUACUAGAGAGAGCGCAACCAGCCAGUUGAACAGCCUGUUAUUGUAUUCUUUGAUGAACCAUGACCGUGCCUUCCACAUCAUCUUCACACUUUGUAUAUUGCGCCUCACAGAGCUUUGACGAUUGGUUGUUUUUAUGUAUAUAUCGAGAAAUAUUUUAAAUAUAUUAAAAAUGACUAAUUCAACUUUUUUAUCUAUAAAAAAAAUCUAAAUUUUUGAAAAAGAGUUUUGGUCAAAUUAGAUUUCUUUUAUAACAGAAUUUUAGAAGGUACAUAGCUUAAAUUAGAUAUGUUUCAAUUUUUUAUUCAUUUAUAAAUAUACUUCUAUUUCUUUGUAAUUUUAAAACACCUCUAGUUCAUUAUCUAAGAUGAAAAAUUCUUUUCAACCUUCGAUUAUUGGUUUCUUUAUGGUCACAGUUCUUCUGUUCGGAGUAAUGACGACUGCUCAAGCUCAAGGACACAGAUUUCCUUGUCGACACAUAUACAGACCGAAAAAUGGAAAAUGUGAUUUGACCAUUUGUUCAGCUGAAUGUACCAAAGAAAGGGGAAGGCUUGGGAUUGGUCGUUGUGUGGGUCCGCAAGAUGAGAUGUGCGCAUGCAUGCAUUAUCAAAGGCAUAGAAAGAAUGAGUGUUUAUUUUGAUUUUUUUUAUCUACAUUGGAACUCAAAUAAUAUUUAUAAUAAUACACGUCUUUAUCACAGGAAAAAUAAUAAUAUUAUUAAUUGUUGUUAGUGUUUGUGGCAUAAUAAAUUGUAUUAUGUUACCAAAUAUAAAUAUAAAUAACAAAUAUUAAUAUGUCGUUCAUCUUUUAACUUUUUUUUUCUUCGGUAGCGUAAAUUAACAAAUAUUAUAUUAUAAUUAGUACUUAUUUCAUAUAAAUUUCAAAGAAAAAAUAAUAAUUUUUUUUAAUUUUUACCAUGUUGGAAUCUCACUGAGAAAAUAACUUUUUUUAUGUUUUUUCUAAUAAAAAUAUUUUAUAUUUUAGUUAGUGAAGGUUUAAAUUUAAAAGUACCGGUUAAUAUCCAACACGAAACUAGUUAAAUCCCAAUGGAAGUACACAAUUAUAUUUUAUCGUAAGACGAAUAAAGUUUUGAGAAAUUUCUUGAAAUACCUUAAGUUGGAUAAAUUAAUAAAAAAAUACAAUUUAUCGAAAAAUAUUAUAAUAUUUGGGUUUUAAAGUUUAGUGAGUAUUGUUUAGAAAUUAUUAUUUAGAGGGUGUGGUUGAGUUUAUAAAUUUUUAUAAAAAAAUUUUAAAACAUUUAUAAAUGAUUCAGGAGAGUUAAUUUUGUUUUAUUUUCAUAAUAAACAUAAGGUAUUUAUUAAAAUGAUUAUCGUUUAAAUGUAAAUUUGAAAAGUAAUAUCAAGGUAAAGUUAGAAUUUCCUCUAAAUUUUUAAUCUAGUGUAUAUAUGAAAACAUGCAUGCCACCUCUUUCAAAAUUGAUUUAUAUGUUACUACUAUAUCAUACAUUGGUUAUUUAAUUUUUAAAUACCCAUCAUAUCUAUAUUAUUAUAUGCAAAGUGAUUUUCCAAAUUUCAGCUCUAAUAUUAAAAGUUAAAGUGAUUAAUAUUGUUUAUAAAUAGUUAUGGAAAACAUAUUAGGUCAAUUAGUUAAUGAAACAUGUGAAAGUACUUAAUUCACAUAAAAGAAGAAAAAAUAUGCAUCAAUAUUAAAUACAAAAAAAAAAAAAACAAAUAGGGCCAUGAUAUUCAUCUCUGUUCACGGGAAUAUCGAUGAUAAAAUAACCACAAGCUCUCCACGCGCAUUAACCUAUGUAUCAAUCGUGUCCAUACACGUGUCAACGAUCCACAGCCUCAUCAUCAUCACCCCCUCCAUCGGUCUUCUUCUUCAUCAUCCUUGUCCACUUUUCUGGCGAAAGCAUCUCAACGGUCAAAAAUGCUUCUCAAGACGGUUUCUUCGUCUUCCGCUGCUCGUGAGUUUCCAUGGCGGAAUCAAGGACGUUUCUCCUCUGCUAUCCUCCGCGAACCAUACACCACCGGAGCUUCUUCCACUUCAGUCUCCGAUCAAUCACCCAGGUGAAACUCUUUCUCUUCGAUUCUCUCUUCUCAGUUCUCGUCGUCUGUAACAGAAUUGCAGAGACGUUGAAUCCGUUAGACGUUUAUAAUCGUCAAAACGGUGUAGCAGAACUAUUGGGCCUGAAGACGUUAUGAUUGGGCUUUUACUGUAACCGGAGUCAAGCCCAAACCCACAGUAGCUCAACUGGCAUGAGCAUUUUUGUAUACAUCAUUUGAUUCAUCCUGUGCACUUCAUGCUUCAGUCUCGGUUUCUAAUUUGUAUCUUUUGGAAUGUUUGUGGUGAUGAUCUUCAGGUACAUGGCAUUUCAAUCAGAUGCUUCUGGAACAGUAAAAUCUGCUUCAUGGGAUUAAGCUCGUGUUUGGUGUUUACUCUCUGAAGCUCACUACCAAUGUAGCUUACUUUGAGUUUGAGUAGAUAAAAAUUGAAUCUUUAGUGAUAUUGAUUAUGAAAAUAAAUGUAUAUAGCGUAAAGUAGCUACAUUUAUGUACAAUGAUUUGAGUUUUUGCUAUUGCAGGAGUUGUAUGUGAACAUUGGGCCUUCAAGAUCCCGAUUCUGUGUUGGGUUCACUCACACGUGAGAUCAAAGAAGUUGGGCCUGAUGGGCAGGAGGUGACUAAAGUUGUACCUGCUGUUACGGAAGAAGUGACAAUCUCUUAUUUUGAAGCUAUAUAUUGUAUUUAAUCUUGUCAGUGACUAAUAACAUAAUUAAACAGGACCAAGGGAUUGAAAUUCUAACGGAAGCCAUAGCAGCUUGCACCGAGACAAUUGAUCAACACAAGGGCAAGCUCGUCGUUAAGGAGGCACCUAGGGCUGUGAGUGAACGAUGCUGACAGAACACAUGGCUAAGCUAAGAAUGGACAAUGAAGAAAUCAGCGGCAAUGAAGAAGAAGAGGAGGACACAGGGAUGGGUGAAGUUGACAUUGAAGGUGCCGGAAUCGUUGAGUAGGAUUCUUCGCUGGUUUCAUAGUUUUCCGACCAACAUGAGUAUUUUUGCUAUAAAGUAGAAAUCUCCAAGAGGUUGUGUGUUUUUUUUUUUCUUUUGUUGUUUUUCACCCGUUGAGGGGUUUAUAUACUCGUAUGUAUGGUUUUAUAAAGUUUUGACUAUUACUGCA